UUUCCGUAGAUGAACCUGCGGAAGGAUCAUUAAUGAGUUGUCAUGGGGUUCGAUGCUGGCAGCCAGUUUUUGGAUGCAUGUGCUUGCCCUAACAAUCAUCUUCUUCCAAACACCUGUGCACAUUUUUGAGGGAGUCUUGAGUUGGUUGCCGCUCUUGGGUGAUUUUCUCACAUUCCCUUAAAUCAUUAUACGCUAUUAACAAUGUUGAACGUGCUCUGUGCCGCAAGGCCAUUAAUAUAAUACAACUUUUAACAACGGAUCUCUUGGCUCUC
rnacentral:misc_RNA from 1 species